GCGCCCGUAGCUCAACUGGAUAGAGCGUCUGACUACGGAUCAGAAGGUUGGAGGUUCGAGUCCUCUCGGGCGCUCCA
rnacentral:tRNA from 1 species